rnacentral:misc_RNA from 1 species
GCGAGCGGAUCCCCUUUCUCUUUGUUGUAGCUCCCCUCCGCUGCCGCGUGUGCAUCUCUUCUCAAAUUUUCGUUUUCUUGCGCUCUCCGUUACAUUGCCCUACGGCAGGCUUCUUUUCGUGUGGGCUCGUGCGGCUGCUCACACGAGGGACGUAUCGAGCCCCCCCCUCUCCCCGUUGCAUGUGCCGCUUUCUCUCGCAAAAGCAGCGCUUUUUCAUAGCUAUCUUGUGCAAGCUGCUGCUGUCGUGCUUGUUGUUACUAUUAUGUAACAAAAGUGUGCGUGCGCGUGUCGUCGUCUUGUGGGGGGAGGGAGGGAGGGAGCCCUUUUCUACUUUUGUGUUUCAUCUCCUGCCUUCCUUGCUUACCAUACACACACACACACACACACACACGGUGGGAAGGAGGGCAUCUACGCGAGCACGAAGCCCUCCCUCUUUUCCUGUAGAGACUCGCUUGCCUCCUCGUCUAUGCGUGCGUGCGUGUUCGUUUUUAUUUGUUACCUUUUAUGCUGUUCGUUUGGUGCUUUACCACAGCGUGUAUCGCGCUUGAGUUUUUUUUUCGUGUGUACCGGUGCCGUUACAGCGGGACUCUUCAGUUGUUACCCGAACCACCCCCUCACCUAUGGCAAACCCACACUCCUCCUUAAUAAGCAAACUCAGGUUUACCACCGCUCCCGCGUAAAGCAGCCUGCGCAAGCAUGGGCACCGGCACCGGAUGCUUGUACGCGUGCGCCCCCUUCACGCUCAUCGUCUCCAUCCUUCUCUUCAUGCUCUCUGUCAUGCUGCGCAACGGCAACUGGACUUUCGCGGUUCUAGCUGCGAAGCACAGCUGGGACGCGGAAGCGAAGUCGCGCUGCUGCCGCAAUGGCGGCCUCAUCUAUCUUUUCACCUCCAUCGUGCUCUGGGUGCUGGUGGUCGUCGACUCGUUUCUCAUCCAGCUAAAGAAACUGCCGACCUCUGCCUCCAAAUGGUGGCGGCAGCGUCGUCUACCCAGCUUGCGCGAGCUGAUGCGUAAACGGCGCAAGGCGUUAGAGACGGAAGGCGUGGACCACGCCACGGACGUCAUUGUGAUGACGACGACACCGACCACAGCAGUCAGGACGGCCGCCGCGAAAUCUCCGCAGCGUUCGGCUCCUUCGGCGUUCGCGCUUCCUUCCGCGGAGGCGGCAUCGCCUCCGACCGUUGUAAUGGCAGGCGAUCCCGUGGCAGCGGACGAUUCUCGAAGAAACACGAGCUCAGCUGGUUCCGCGAGAGCCGAUGCAGGCCGCACGGGUUUCGUGUUCUUAUGCCCUUCAUCUCCGGCGAUGGGAGGGGCCUCUGUGAAUGCCGCAGUGAACAUCAGCUCCGCGAAACCACUGCCGUCUGCUGGGCAGGCCUAUGAAAGGUUUGCUCGUGAAGAGGCGCAGGACCGCCAGCCCUUGCCAGUAAGCGCGACCACGUCGGCUGCGACCAGCGCGCAGGAAGUGGAUUACUUGCUGUCGUAGGAGAGGUUGGCGACGGAAGAAAACAUAUGCAGGCCGACUGACGCACACGCAGCGGCUGCCUGUGCGCCGUUCGCCCGUGUGCAUUCUCUCGCCGCUCUUUCUGUGUAUUGCCUGAGCCUUUCACCUGUGUUUCUGAUGAUCGGGAAGAGGGUGAAUGGGGGAGAAAGACAUUCUUGCAGAGAGGGUCUGCGCAGGAGCGCGCAUAAAAGCGCUGCUGUGAUGUGGUCGACUUCCCUCCUUCCAAACCUGAGUCUCUCCCUUCCUUUCCAUUGGGUGCAGGCGCGCUGUGCCGUUUUAGCCAUGUGCCGAAGCUUUUGGAGGUGGGCGCUGCCGUCUCAGCCACGUACCGCGUGAUAGGGAGUCGCACAGAUCCGGGGGUUUGCUUGUCAUGCAUCAGUCAAGGCAAAGUCGGCUAGCGCUCCCUUGCGCCGUUCAUGUGAUGACCAAUGCCAUUCCUGAGGCCGCCGAUUUCUCAAUCUGCUGCACUGCUGUUUGUGUUCUCUGGCUCUGAGGAACCUCACGCGCGCGCGCGCGUCUGAACAUCCUCGCCGCCUGGGUAUCACUUUUUCUGCCCCGUACCCCGUAAGAAGUGCGCUGCGGGAAAGAGAGAGCGUAGUAGCCAAGGGUGAUGUACAAACGUGCAUGCAUUUCCAUACGGACAUGCACGGGGAAGAGCGGCGUGAACCUCUUUUGGCCGUCCUUGGGAAGCCUUGGCCAGCCAACAGCGGCGUGCCAGCGCCAAGGCGAGGUGUAAAGGGAGGCCCGCUCCCAUCAUCUGCGCCGUGACGUGCGCCAGCGCCCGGUGUUUGAUUACUCUGUCACCGGGAGCACGGCAGCCGUGACAACUCCCAAACUCCCGCGGUCGCAAGGUUGAAGCGCAGGGUUUCUCUCCUGCCGCACUUGCGUCGCAAGUACUCUGCAAUGGCGGGUUUCAGGCCACCCGCCACGACGACUAGAGGCUCGGCGGGAGAGGGAGUGUGCAACUGAUGCUUGCCACCGCGCCGAAGCUAGGAAUGACUGUGCUGCCCCCCUCCCUCAAGAAACAUUGGUCCGCUCCGUCAUCCUCGAAAGAUCAUCCCAUCACGGCGCCGUCUUCCAGGCCAGAAGAAGCGCGAUUCAGAGCAUCCCUGGCGGCCCACUCGCCAUCGGGAGCAACACAUCUCGGAAGACAGGUGGCGCCUCGUUCCUUUUUUUUGCUGUGACUCGGCCAUUCCGCGCCGGAUCCCUUUUUGGGUCGACAUCAUCGCCUGGUACGCGGCCCCCCCCUUGGGUUGCGCCGUGGCGCGCCGCGUCAAGAUCUACCAUUUGUAGAACGGUAUUCCUGAUGAACCCGUUCUGUGUCGUGCGGGGGGGGGUGGUCUUUCUCCCGAAGCGCGGGGCUCACCGCUUAUAUACCACGCGGUGCGCUCCUCAGGCACCUCUUUGGGCUGCCGAAAGGCAGCGUGGCGUUCGCUGCUUAUCGGUGACGGGCUGGGCGUAUCACCUCGCUUGAUCGCCAGUGGAGCUGGAGCACCUUUGUCGGCGCUGGCGAAGCCCCAUGCCAAAAGCACAUCAAGAGACAGGUGACCGCGCUGUAUGUUUGUUCGUGCGUGCCUUCGUGUACGCAUGUGGAUCGCGAGAACUGCGUAGAAGCGUGCGGAGAUACGGAAUUUUUUUUUUCAUUCGUCUCGAAGAGAGAAACAUGCGUCAACAAAUAGGGCACACGAGAAAAGCCCUCUGGCAUGAGGAAAAAGUAUGCGCACGGAGAGAGAGGCACUCAUCAUUGGCGGCGAGCCGAACUUUUAAGUAUGUGCUUGUACUUCAACGGAGAGCCCCCCUCUUUCCCCCGCACGUGAAAAAAAAA